UAGGGAAUCUUCGGCAAUGGGGGCAGCCCUGACCGAGCAACGCCGCGUGAGUGAAGAAGGUUUUCGGAUCGUAAAGCUCUGUUGUAAGAGAAGAACGUGUGUGAGAGUGGAAAGUUCACACAGUGACGGUAACUUACCAGAAAGGGACGGCUAACUACGUGCCAC
rnacentral:rRNA from 1 species